rnacentral:rRNA from 1 species
UAUACAUGACUCUGCGCAUAUCAAUAAGCGGAGGAAAAGAAACUAACAAGGAUUCCCUUAGUAACGGCGAGUGAAGCGGGAAGAGCUCAAAUUUGAAAUCUUCAAGGUUCUACCUUGACGAAUUGUAGUUUAUAGAAGUGUUUUCUGUUAGUGGAGUGGCAAAAGUUCUUUGGAAUAGGACAUCAUAGAGGGUGAGAAUCCCGUAUUUGGUCAUUCUUCCUAGCGUUGUGAUACACUUUCAACGAGUCGGAUUGUUUGGGAAUGCAGUCCAAAAUGGGUGGUAAAUUUCAUCUAAAGCUAAAUAUUGGCGAGAGACCGAUAGCGAACAAGUACCGUGAGGGAAAGAUGAAAAGAACUUUGAAAAGAGAGUUAAACAGUACGUGAAAUUGUCAAAAGGGAAGCGUUUGACACCAGUGUUGUUUUUCCGAAAAUCAAUUACGAAUGUUUUAUUUUUGAGAAGUUAUGACUUCAUCGGCUUGCUUCUUUCUUUACGAAACUUUCUUAAUGCACUUUUCGGUUAACAAGUCAACAUCAAUUUCUUUUGUUGUAAAAGGGUACGAGGAAGGUGGCUUUCUUUUCGGAGAAAGUGUUUAUAGCCUUGUACCUCUGCAAUCGGAGAGAUUGAGGUCUGCAGCGUAGAUCCUUCGGGGUUAGAUACAUUUGUGCUAAGUUAUAGCUUUCAUAGACAACUUGUUGACUAUGAUUAAGUCAUUGUAGCUUACUCGCUUAUGCUAUUUUACCUACGCUUAGGAUGUUGAUAGUCACAGCGUGUAC